CAGGCUGUGCAGGUCCACCAGAAUUGUGCUGCGCUGGUCAGAACAGCAGCUGCUUCAGGCCGGGGUGUGGUUACUGUGAUCAGAUCUGUGUGCAACUGAAUGAUUGUUGUACUGACUUCACCUCAACCUGCACAUUCCUCAUUGCAAAUAACACUACUGCACAGCCAGCUGUGAACACAUCAGCUUCCAUUGUGUCCUCUACAACAAGUCCCAGCCAAACAACCAACAUUGACACAACGACUCCUUCAGAUGGAGCCAUUAUAUCACUCUCGACAUCUACAGCAGGAACAACACUAUCUCAGGCCACUACAGCUCUGGACACCAGUAAUACCACACCAACAGUUGACAGCACCUCUGAUAUUCCCAUCGAAAUCACGCCCAAGAGCUCAGUGAUACUUCAGUUAAAAGCCUCUCUUCCAUCCCUUAAUGCGGAUAAUCAAGAUGAGAUUUUUGAGGCUAUUUCUAAAUUUUUAUCCCAGGCACUUCUGCCAAGGAACUGUGAGAGCUGCACAUUGACAAUCACACAGUUCAAACGCACCUGAGUUGCAGCCAGUAAAGGGACCAGCUUCAAAAGACUCACCAA